AUUGAACGCUGGCGGCAGGCCUAACACAUGCAAGUCGAGCGGAUGAAGGUAGCUUGCUACCUGAUUCAGCGGCGGACGGGUGAGUAAUGCCUAGGAAUCUGCCCGGUAGUGGGGGACAACGUUUCGAAAGGAACGCUAAUACCGCAUACGCCCUACGGGAGAAAGUGGGGGAUCUUCGGACCUCACGCUAUCAGAUGAGCCUAGGUACGAUUAGCUAGUUGGUGAGGUAAAGGCUCACCAAGGCGACGAUCGUUAACUGGUCUGAGAGGAUGAUCAGUCACACUGGAACUGAGACACGGUCCAGACUCCUACGGGAGGCAGCAGUGGGGAAUAUUGGACAAUGGGCGAAAGCCUGAUCCAGCCAUGCCGCGUGUGUGAAGAAGGUCUUCGGAUUGUAAAGCACUUUAAGUUGGGAGGAAGGGCAGUAAGUUAAUACCUUGCUGUUUUGACGUUACCGACAGAAUAAGCACCGGCUAACUUCGUGCCAGCCGCCGCGUAAGAC
rnacentral:rRNA from 1 species